GUUUAAUCAUAACUAUCGUGUCAGUAAUUUUAUUCUUACACUUGGCAUGUGAGGCACAAAAUAUAGUAAAGCCGAUUUGCAAACCUGGUUAUAAGUUUAUUGGUGGAAAAUGUCGAGAAAUUCAAUAACAUCACUCAUUUGGAAAUGUGGAUGAGCAGUCAUAAGAAUAGAUGUUUUGAUAUGUGACGUGCGGUAAAGGAGGAAAUUACAAACCAAAACUGGAAAUAUUUAAUAAUAAGAGCACUGGACGCUUGGGUUUAUUGAAAUCGAUGAUAUAAACGUAUAAUGAAAUGGUUUAUUUGCCGUCCUGCUCCCUGUUUGAAAAUGUGGGUGGUUCCGCCGCCCCCGAAUCGGCUAGCGGAUACAUUUCACCUAGCGCUGUGAAUGUAAACCGAGCGCUUCAACAAAUCAUUACAGUUUUGCGAGCGUCCAUCCAUGACAACCCCUUUUGCCAUACUCAAAGUACCUUAACAUUAAAAUCAGUAAUAAUCUAUAGUUUGAUUAACUCUAUAAUUAUUCACGUUUCAAUUUGUGAAUUUUGGUUAUGUUGACAUUUUGCGCUGUAAGUUGUAGUUGGGUGAUGUUUGUUUAUUAAAUUUGCAUUUCGAUAUCGA